rnacentral:rRNA from 1 species
UCCGUAGGGACCAAGCGUUGUUCGGAUUUACUGGGCGUAAAGGGCGCGUAGGCGGCCUGACAAGUCACUUGUGAAAUCUCCGGGCUUAACUCGGAACGGUCAAGUGAUACUGUCGCGCUAGAGUGCGGAAGGGGCAAUCAGAAUUCUUGGUGUAGCGGUGAAAUGCGUAGAUAUCAAGAGGAAUACCUGAGGUGAAGACGGGUUGCUAGGCCGACACUGACGCUGAAGCGCGAAAGCCAGGGGAGCAAACGGG